AUGGCAUCCAGGUGCUCUGUCCCCGUUUCCCUUCGUCAAUGUCCACCUGUGAGGGGAGCACGGACCACCUGUAGGGCCAGACGCGCCAUGCAAAGCGCCACGCACACUCGUUCCAAACUCCGCCUACGCAUCCCAAGUUCCCAACCCACCGCAUUGACUCUCGAUCGCGGCGGUUUCUCGCUACUUUACUUUCCACUCGCACCGCUCGCCGUGACGCGUCGACGGAGCCGCCGAGGGAGUCUGCCCCGCUUGCAUCCGGUCGGUGGGUCGGUCGGGGCCAUGGUGAAGCUGGCGACGGCGAGGGAGGCGCGGCUGUACGGGCCGGCGCUGGCGGUGCGGCGGUGGGAGUACAUCAACGCCGGCGCGUACAUGUUCGGCACCCUGCUCCUGGCCGCGGGGCUCGCGGCGCUGUGCGCGUCCGAGGGCGGCGUCGGCGCCACGGACGCCGGGCUCGCCGUGGCCGGCGUGGCGCUGGCGGUGGUGGCGGCCGUGAACGCGCACGACCUGGGCGCGCACCUCGCCGGCGUGGACUGCCGCGUCGGGCUCGCCCGGUUCGACCCCCAGCUCGGCAUCGUCGAGUUCCUCGCGCCCGCGCUCCAUGCCGCAGGCUGCGUCCUCGCCAUCGUCGGCCUCGCGCUGCAGCUCUUCUCCCAGGGCGACAAGCUGGAGAGGCGCGCUGCCGACGCGCUGCUGGCGGGCGCGGCACUGUGGCUGCUGGGCUCGGUGCUCAGCUCGUGCCAGGUGUACGAGCGCGCCGACGGCCGCGCGCAGCUGCUGCAGUCCAGCGUGCAGGUCCCCGUCCUCCUCGGCAGCCUGCUCUUCCUCGUCGCCGCCGCCCUCCACCGCCGGCGUGAGCCCACCCUGCCAGGCGAGAGGGAAAGCGAGAGCGAGAGGUGGAUUAGCCUGUGCGGGAGCGUGCUGUGGGUGGCGGGCGCACUGUUCAACGUGCUCAAGGUGUUCGUGAUGCACCAGAGCGACGCGCCGCGGCUCGAGAAGCUCCGCGGCGGCGCGCAGGAGCGGCUCGCCCGGGACCGUGAGGGCCGCGUGCCGCUGGUCUGGAGGUCGGCGGCGCAGCUGCGCUGA
rnacentral:rRNA from 1 species